rnacentral:lncRNA from 1 species
UCCCAUGUCCUACAUUGAAGGAAUCUUGACCAAAUGUAACCAUGGCGUCAUGAUACUCCUCUGAUGCCUUGAAACUAUCGACUGCCUAAGCCAUCUCCCGCUCAAAAUCCAUCGAAGCCAUGAAGGACUCCACGGCCAAUCAGCAGGCCUUAACAAUCUUCUUCUUGACCUCCCACUUGGCCUCGAUGAUCCAGUUCUUGGCCUACUACUUCACCUCGGUGAUCUGUUCCUCGACUUUUUGCUCGGCCUCGAUGAGCUUUGCAUUGGCCUCCUGGAGCUCCUUUCCUUUCUGUGCA